AUGGGGACACCUGAAAAUCUUCAUGGGAAAAAGCCAACACAGGCCAAACCCUGGCUUGGUGGAGGGGCCAGUGUUCCUGUUGCACAGCUGCGCAGAGGGGAAGGGGAGGGGGUGAGACAAAUCACUGGGAGGUUUUUGUUCAGAGCUGUAUCAUGGUGUUAUGUGUUCGGAGAAGGGACCCGGCUGACCGUCACUGGUCUUCCCAAGGCAUCCCCCAUGGUCACUGCCUUUGCUCCAUCCAAACCUGAGCUAGAAACAAAAAAGGCCACCCUCGUGUGCGUGAUAAAUGGCUUCUACCCAAGCACUAUGGACGUGGCUUGGACCAAGAAUGGCUCCCCCGUGACCCAGGGGGUGAUGACCAGCCCCCCAGUCCGCCAAAGUGACAACAAGUAUACAGCCAGCAGUUACCUCUCACUCUCUGCUGAUCAGUGGCUUUCUGACAGCCUCUACAGCUGCAAGGUCACCCAUGAAGGCCAGGUCUUCCAGAAAGAGCUGUCCUCAACCCAGUGCAUUUAAAUGCCCACAUGCUUCCUCCCUCAUGUCCCACAAUGGACUUCCCCACCUCUUCCCCCCUCCUCCCCUACUUUCAAUAAAGAUCUUCUUCUUUCUCAUUCAA